UACGUAGGGGGCAAGCGUUGUCCGGAAUUAUUGGGCGUAAAGAGCGCGUAGGCGGUCCGAUAAGUCGGCUGUGAAAGUCAGGGGCUCAACCCUUGAAAGCCGGCCGAUACUGUCGGACUAGAGUCCGGAAGAGGCAAGUGGAAUUCCCGGUGUAGCGGUGAAAUGCGCAGAUAUCGGGAGGAACACCGGUGGCGAAGGCGGGUCUCUGGGCCGAUACUGACGCUGAGGAGCGAAAGCGUGGGGAGCGAACAGG
rnacentral:rRNA from 1 species